rnacentral:rRNA from 1 species
AUGAACGCUGGCGGCGUGCCUAAUACAUGCAAGUCGAGCGAACAGACGAGGAGCUUGCUCCUCUGACGUUAGCGGCGGACGGGUGAGUAACACGUGGAUAACCUACCUAUAAGACUGGGAUAACUUCGGGAAACCGGAGCUAAUACCGGAUAAUAUAUUGAACCGCAUGGUUCAAUAGUGAAAGACGGUUUUGCUGUCACUUAUAGAUGGAUCCGCGCCGCAUUAGCUAGUUGGUAAGGUAACGGCUUACCAAGGCAACGAUGCGUAGCCGACCUGAGAGGGUGGCCGGCCACAGUGGACCUGAGACAGGGUCAAGACCCCUGCGGGAGGAAGAAGUGGGGAUUCUUCAGCAAGGGGCGAAAGCGUGACGGAGCAACGCCGCGGGAGUGAUGAAGUUCUUCGGAUCGAAAAACUCUGUUAUGGGGAAAAAAAAAAUGUGUAAGUACCUCGCCACGUCUGGACGGUCCCUAAUAAAAACGCCACGGCUAACUCCGGG